rnacentral:rRNA from 1 species
CCAGACUCCUACGGGAGGCAGCAGUGGGGAAUAUUGCACAAUGGGGGAAACCCUGAUGCAGCGACGCCGCGUGAGCGAAGAAGUACCUCGGUAUGUAAAGCUCUAUCAGCAGGGAAGAAGAUGACGGUACCUGACCAAGAGGCUCCGGCUAAAUACGUGCCAGCAGCCGCGGUAAUACGUAUGGAGCAAGCGUUAUCCGGAUUUACUGGGUGUAAAGGGAGCGCAGGCGGCCUUGCAAGUCUGAUGUGAAAGCCCGGGGCUCAACCCCGGGACUGCAUUUGGAACUGUGUAGCUGGAGUGUCGGAGAGGCAGGCGGAAUUCCUAGUGUAGCGGUGAAAUGCGUAGAUAUUAGGAGGAACACCAGUGGCGAAGGCGGCCUGCUGGACGAUGACUGACGUUGAGGCUCGAAAGCGUGGGGAGCAAGCAGGAUUAGAUACCCCUGUA